GUUGGCUUUCUGUGCUCUCCAUUAGGGACUGAGGAGGCACAUACCACAUGUAAGACACAACUACAGUUAAUCUGAACAGUGUUAGGUGCCACGUAUAAGACACAACUACAGUUAAUCUGAACAGUGUUAGGUGCUCCCCAGCUUUCUGUGGGCCAUAGGUUUAGCAAAUGGGUAACACAUGUUCCAUUUCUCCAUGUCAGCAGGUGUAAAUGUAACAGCAUCGGGGAGGCACAGAAAAGAGAUUGGCCUGACGCAUGCUGAUACAUGCACACACCUAAAACCCAGAUGUUCUUUAACCAGCCUACAAAUUCCUUCAAAACAAUUUGUAGCAGUAUCCAUUCUGCCCAGCCACCCAUACAGAACUGUGCUGAUACUGCCACCACUCAGCUGUUCUUGGUGGCUGGGCCUGCGUCUCCUCAGCCUGCCCAGGUACAGCAUCCCACCCGCCAUGGACCCAGCCCAUGUCAGGUGCAGGACCAAGACCCAGCUACACUGAGAGCAUUUGAAGCCCGAGAAAAAUUACAGAGAAGCACAGCUUGUGACUGAUUCUAGGGCUGAGGCAGUGAAGCAAUGAUUAGGACUACCUUUUGGGAUGCAUGCGUGUGUGACAGGAGGAUGGGGAUAAGGAAUGGGGAAUGCAAGCAUGGUUUCCACUGUAUCUAAUACAAUACUGAAUAGCAGCUACUGACAUCCAAGCAAGCUAGGUUUGGAAAACGACGGCCUGUUCUGGCAUCCAUACAGAACUGUUCUGAUACUGCCACCACUCAGCUGUUCUUGGUGGCCGGGCCUGCGUCUCCUCAGCCUGCCCAGGUACAGCAUCCCACCCGCCAUGGACCCAGCCCAUGUCAGGUGCAGGACCAAGACCCAGCUACACUGAGAGCAUUUGAAGCCCGAGAAAAAUUACAGAGAAGCACAGCUUGUGACUGAUUCUAGGGCUGAGGCAGUGAAGCAAUGAUUAGGACUACCUUUUGGGAUGCAUGUGUGUGUGACAGGAGGAUGGAGAUAAGGAAUGGGAAUGCAAGCAUGGUUUCCACUGUAUCUAAUACAAUACUGAAUAGCAGCUACUGACAUCCAAGCAAGCUAGGUUUGGAAAACGACGGCCUGUUCUGAAUUGCACUGUUUCCGUUAAUUUUGAUUUUUUUAUGCCUUUACUGGAACCUGGUUUGAGGUAAUUUUGUUUAAUCCUCUGACUGGAAAGAUCUUGUUUACUUCUUCUUAUAAAGGAGUGUUUAGACUUCAUUAUCUUGUCCUGGUAGGUUGGUUUGUUGCAGGAAUUCAAACGAUAGUGUUUGUUUAGCAAAAAACUGGAGCACUCAUACUGACAAUAUUGAAUUGGAAAAGAUAGCUAAAAAAAUCACUUCAUCAGCUUCUCAUCUAGUAGUGCUUCAAUGAGUCAA
rnacentral:lncRNA from 12 species